GCCCAUAAUGACUGUCCUAUGGAGCUUGUAGUUAAGUGAAAGAAAAUGAUGUUAGUUAAAUGAUCACCAAAUUCAAUAUAAUUAACACAGUGUUAAAUUCCAAGAAGCAGUUUAUGGUCCUUUAGUGAUUUAAGUAGAAUGUUUAGUGGGCUUGAUCUGUUGUAAUAAAUCGGGUUUGAAAACAAGGUAUGAGAAUUUUCACUAGAAAAAUGAGUAGAAAAUAAUUCAAGUAUAUGGAAUAGAAAGCAAGUAUGAUGAUAGAAGAUACAUGUAAAAAAAAAGACUCCUUUAAAUACGUGUCCUUGAAAUCCUAUUUAGAGUGAUCAUUUCUUCAAUAAACUAUUACUUCAAGUGCAGGAAAAAUUUAUAUUCUCCUUUAUGCUUACAAGUUAUAAAUAAGUGAAUCCAGAUGAAUGAAUUGCAGUAUAACUAUAUUGGUGAAAUAGAUGAGAAUUAAAUCUAUGAAUUUACCUCAGACUUACUUUAUCUAUUCAGUUAUAUUUACCUUUAGUUCUAAAGCUUUUUUGCUGCUUUUACUUUACAGCCUGUAUUUCAAUCUGAACACUCCUAUAAUGAAAUCAGAAUUAGAAAAUUCUGCAAUCAAAUUACAAACAAAGCCAUGCACUUAGGUUAACCCCCUGAAUAUUAUGUUUAUGAAUGGGAAAGAUUUACAAAGAGUCAAUCAUUGUUUCUUUGGAGAAAUACAACAUUUGCCUUACAACCAGAGAAUAAACAUCAGCUGGUAAAGAAAGCUAUUGAAUUUCAAAAUCCUUUUGAAAUGUCACAUUAACUUGUUUAACUUUCAGUCAAUUCUUUAAAGUAUCUAACAUUUCCUGAUGACUCUCAAAUCUACAACUGCUUAUAUUUCUUCAACUGUUUCCUUCAAUCUCAACUGAACUGGUAGAAUUGUAUCACAGCUGCAGUUUGUGCGGAUUCAUUCUGCAAGUUAGUUCAAUUUAUGACCAUCAAGCAUGGUCAUAUGCUAAAUUGGGCUGAUUUUUUGAAACUCUAUGGUUCUAGUCUUGUAUCUAGCCUCAUUAAAUCUUAAUCUUUAAAGCUA